UUAAAUAUAAAUUUUCAGUUACUACUCAAACAAAGCAAACUUAAUAUUUAGAUGUCAUUAAAAAGUAGAUAAAAUAUCGACGUUUGUAAAUUUGUUAAAAAUUAAUCAAAUAAGAGCCAAAGAAAUCGGAAGUUUUAAAAUUUGUAACCUCGCGAUCUCAAACUAAGCAGAACAGUGAUUUGUACGACAAAUAAAAUCUCUUGUAGCCUUCAUUGGUUAAACCUUACCAUAUUUAGAACGAGCAGCGAAAUUGUUUCAGCUCCAAAAUUCGAAUAUUCGACCCUGGCAAAUCUUUAUUGAACGAUUAAAAGCGUGUGCGAUAAAGAGGAACUGAAAAAAAGCAUCUUGGUGCUAAGCACGGAAUAUAUAUUAGAUGAACAAAACUUUCCACCGAACCCCCUAAACACUUGAGAAGUUAUCAACCUGGCGAGGUGUGGAAGAUGCAUGAAAAGACACUUUCACAACAGCAGAAACUACGAAAUGUCCUACAUUUGACUUAAAUCGGAUCAUUCUUUUACAUAUAAUCCUUUAAUUUUAAGAAUAAUAAUAAAUUUUGUAAUACUGUA